rnacentral:lncRNA from 10 species
UUUGCUUGUGUCUUCUUGCUUAUGCCUGGAUGUGAGGUCAGGUGGGGUAGGUGUGCAUAAGGCCUGCCACCUGGUGUUGGUGUGUACACAGGGCUGGCAUCAGGCCACAGAGCUCCUAAGGAAGCAAGUGCAAAUGGUCCCAAAGGCAGUAAAUGGAACAUGCGAGUAAACCUUAACACUUUUUUUCACAUUCCUUGCCACAUCAGCAAGGCCAAAAAUGGGAGAAUUGCAUUUCUUUGACAAAUAUUUCUUUUUUAUUCAUUUUCUUAUAAAAUUAUCCCCAACCUGUCUGAAGAGUCUGCCAGCCAUUGGGGUUGCACUAUGUUGGCCAGCCUAGUCUUGAACGCCUGACCUCGGGUGAUCCACCCACCUCGGCCUCCCAAACUGCUGGGAUUACAGGCUUGAGACCCCACGCCCAACUGUCCACAAAUUUUUCUAUGCUGGAAAAGCUUGAUCUAAUGAACUCCUUCUUAUUCUUCAAUCUCAGCUAAAAUUUUCUUAGAAAGGCGAUCCCAAUGGAAGCGAUCACUCUAUUCUUAUCUUCCAUAACAACCUGUUCUUGGCUUCCACUGCCAACAGCAGUGUAUGGAAGUCCCAGUUGCUUCACGUCCCAACCAACAUUUGGUUUAUCAAACUUCAGAGUUUCUGACAUCCUAAUGUAAUGGUAUCUUAUUAUGAUUUUCGUUUGCAUCUCUUGGAUUACUAAUAAAUUUGAGCAUCUAAAAAUAAGUUUAUCGGCCAUUUGAAUUUCCUUUUGCAUGAAAUGCCUGUUUGAGUUGGUUGCCAUUUUUCUGUUGAGUUGUCAUAUUCUUAUUCAUUAUUAGAAAGAUCCCUUGUAUUAGUCCGUUUUCACACUGCUGAUAAAGAAAUACCUGAGACUGGCCAGUUUACAAGGGAAAGAGGUUUAAUGGAGAACUCACAGUUCCACAUGCCUGGGGGAGCCUCACAAUCUUGGCAGAAGGUGAAUGGCACAGCUCACAUGGUGGCAGACAAGAGAAGAGGGCUUGUGCAGGAAAACUCCCCUUUAUGAUAACCAUCAGAUCUCAUGAGACUUACUCACUAUCACAAGAACAGCACGGGAAAGACCUGCCCCCCAUGAUUCAAUUACCUUUCACUGAGUCCCUCCCACACAUGUGGGAAUUCAAGACAAGAUUUGGGUGGGACACAGCCAAACCAUAUCAUCCCUGUACAUAUCAUUGAUAUUAGACUUUGUGGGUUAUAUGUAUUACAAGUAUCUUCUUUCACUCUUUGCCUUGUUUUCUUAUUUUCUCCAGUAUGUUUUUUGGUGAAAGUAUGUUUUUAAUUUUAGGAUUGCCAAAUACCUUACAAGCAGAAAUUACAAGAAUUUCUGCUUAUAAGAGUCCGUUGGGGGAAGCUCUCUCAGGUUUUGUUUGUCUGAAAAGGUUAUUAUUUAUUCUUCGUUCUUGAAAAAAUAAUUUGACUCGGUAUGGAGUUCCAGGAUGACAGUAACUGAAAAAAUUUCGCAAACUGAAAAAAAAAUUCUACUCUCUAGAGUUUGUGUUGAUUGGACCAUCAGAAACAGAGUUAAUAGGGAGUUGUAAGUGGCUAAACAUGGGAAGCAGGGAGCUUUUUGAGAGAUCCACAGUUAUGCAGAACGUCUCUUAAAUGUACUCCAGGAAAAAUAGUCAGUUUUGGGGGUCCCCAAGACAAGGGAGCACUAUUAGAAGGUGGAGGCACUGUCUGCCAAAUCAGAGCUUCCCUGGCCUUGGCUUUCUCCCAGGAGGAGCCAGAGGAGGAUUUGUGAGGAGGGGACAGUACAGAAGCAUGAAGCUUAGAAAGACAAGAGACCCCUGCCCACUCCAAGGCCUCCAAGGCAAAGCCGAGAGUGGGGAGAAGCUUUAAGUAAAGUUCAGAAUUUUGAUUAAGACAGAGGAACAAGUACACCAAUGGCAAAAAGAAGACCACUCUUGUAUAUUCUUACAACUAUGGUUGUACCCAAUCUCCCUUCCAGAGGAGGGC